rnacentral:lncRNA from 13 species
AUGUGUCCCUUCUCAUUUCCCCCCAAUUCUAGAGGUCUCGGCCGGGUGUGCUCAAGCCCCUCCCCCGCGCGAGGCGGGCAGCGCGCCCUGCUCACCGUGGUCCGCGGCGGCGGCGGCGCAGGCGGGAGCCGGCGGCGGGUGGCCCCGGGCCGCCGGGCGGCUCCUGCGGUCCGGGCGGCAGUUGGUCCAGGAGUUUCGGAUGCUCGGGCUCGGCUCGGCAGAGAGCGUCAGCGUGAAUGGGAGCAAACGACCAGGGCUGUGCGUGGCGCGUGUGGAAAGAAGUCUUGGAGAAGAGAAAGAGAAGAAAAUUACCAUAAAAAAUUGGACAUGAGAGCGUAGAAGUCUAUUAAGACAGAGCUUGGAAGUGGCAUUAGGUAGGAGAUAUCAGCUUUGGAGUUUGCUAUUUCUCUUUAUCAAAGUAAAAGGACUUUGUCUUGAUUGAAUGACUUCCACAGAGGGGCCUGGGUGGUUUAUGCAGUAGAGUAGAUGAUGACAGAUAACACUCUCUGGUCAAAGCCUUUGGGAAGAUUGUGCGUACAAAGAUUUUUCCAG